rnacentral:rRNA from 1 species
GGGGAAUUUUGGACAAUGGGGGCAACCCUGAUCCAGCCAUGCCGCGUGAGUGAAGAAGGCCUUCGGGUUGUAAAGCUCUUUCGGCCGGGAAGAAAUCGUGCAGGCUAAUAUCCUGCGCGGAUGACGGUACCUUGACAAGAAGCACCGGCUAACUACGUGCCAGCAGCCGCGGUAAUACGUAGGGUGCGAGCGUUAAUCGGAAUUACUGGGCGUAAAGCGUGCGCAGGCGGUUGUGUAAGACAGGUGUGAAAUCCCCGGGCUUAACCUGGGAACUGCGCUUGUGACUGCACGGCUAGAGUACGGCAGAGGGGGGUAGAAUUCCACGUGUAGCAGUGAAAUGCGUAGAGAUGUGGAGGAAUACCGAUGGCGAAGGCAGCCCCCUGGGUUAGUACUGACGCUCAUGCACGAAAGCGUGGGGAGCAAACA